GCCAGAGGGAGGCACUGGCAGAAGACCAAAGGGGAUCAGGAAAGGAGAGACCAGGGUGUUUCUCCUCCCCUCUGCCUUCAGAGGUGUCUCUGGCAGAGAAUUUGCAUUUCUUCCUUGGUUCUAGCUCCUGCUCCGGUUCCAGUUUCUUACAGGGUAAGCCUAAGCCUUGGGUUGCUGCGAUCCUGCCUCUUCCUGUUGUUCCGCCAGCUUACGGGUGAUAGUGGCUUCCUGCUAUUAUUCAUCUCUGAACUGAAAGACACUAUUUUCUAGUUGUCUUUCCAGCUCUUCACCUAGCAUUCACCCUCACAGGUUCUGGAACAAGCUCCAAGGCAGAGGUAAAGAAGCGUAUCUGGACACGUCUGAGCCGUUGCACUCAACUUGUCCCUCUACUUUCCAUGAUUGCUCCACUUACUACACUGGAAUAGUGUCCCACUGGAACAUGGUCCCUUUAGGAUGGUGUUCUCUAAAGUGUGGGGCACUGACCAUUGGUCGAGGCUGUAUUAGUUAUCUAUUGCCAUGUAACAAAUUACCCCAACACUUAGCAGCUUAAAACAGCAUCAUUUAGUGUCUCACAGUUUUUAAGGUCAGCAAUCCAGGAGAGGCUUAACUGGGUCUCUGGGCUCUGGGUCUUUCCCAAAGCUGUGGUCAUGGCAAGGCUGCAUAGGGCAGGGGCUGCUUCCCAGCAUCCUGGGGUUGGUGGGGGUAGGACUCAGUUUCUUGCCGGCUGUUGUGCCGAGGGUCUCUGUGCCUCAGGAGCUACUGGCUAGAAGAUUUCCUCAGUUUCUUUCCACAUGGAUCUCUCCAUAGAGUAUCUCCCAAUAUGGCGCUGGCUUUGUUGUAAUGAACAAGUGAUAGGGCGAGGCAGAAGGCAAACAAGACACAAGUCACAGUCUUUUAUAACCUAUUCUUCAAGUGAUGUAUCAUCCCUUGUGCCAAAAUCUAUUGAUUAGAAACUAGUAACUAGGUCCAGCUCACACUCUGAAGCAGGUUACACAAGGCUGUGAAUAACAAGGGGCCAGGAAUCAUUGGGGAUCAUCUUAGAGGCUGCUUACCACAGGUGGCUGGGGUGGG
rnacentral:lncRNA from 10 species